GAUGACGCUGGCGGCGUGCCUAAUACAUGCAAGUCGAGCGAACAGACGAGGAGCUUGCUCCUCUGACGUUAGCGGCGGACGGGUGAGUAACACGUGGAUAACCUACCUAUAAGACUGGGAUAACUUCGGGAAACCGGAGCUAAUACCGGAUAAUAUAUUGAACCGCAUGGUUCAAUAGUGAAAGACGGUUUUGCUGUCACUUAUAGAUGGAUCCGCGCCGCAUUAGCUAGUUGGUAAGGUAACGGCUUACCAAGGCAACGAUGCGUAGCCGACCUGAGAGGGUGAUCGGCCACACUGGAACUGAGACACGGUCCAGACUCCUACGGGAGGCAGCAGUAGGGAAUCUUCCGCAAUGGGCGAAAGCCUGACGGAGCAACGCCGCGUGAGUGAUGAAGGUCUUCGGAUCGUAAAACUCUGUUAUUAGGGAAGAACAAAUGUGUAAGUAACUAUGCACGUCUUGACGGUACCUAAUCAGAAAGCCACGGCUAACUACGUGCCAGCAGCCGCGGUAAU
rnacentral:rRNA from 1 species